UACGUAGGGUGCAAGCGUUGCCCGGAUUUAUUGGGCGUAAAGGGCGCGUAGGCGGCUCGGCACGUCCGUUGUGAAAUCGCCCGGCUCAACUGGGCGGGGUCAGCGGAUACGGUCGAGCUUGAGCAAGCUAGGGGGCAAUGGAAUUCCCGGUGUAGUGGUGGAAUGCGUAGAUAUCGGGAGGAACACCAGUGGCGAAGGCGGUUGCCUGGGCUUUGCUGACGCCUGAGGCGCGAAAGCCGUGGGGAGCAAACAGGAUUAGAAACCCGAGU
rnacentral:rRNA from 1 species